rnacentral:rRNA from 1 species
AGCGAACGCUGGCGGCAGGCCUAAAACAUGCAAGUCGAACGCCCGUAGCAAUACGGGAGUGGCAGACGGGUGAGUAACACGUGGGAACGUGCCCUUUGGUUCGGAACAACACAGGGAAACUUGUGCUAAUACCGGAUAAGCCCUUACGGGGAAAGAUUUAUCGCCAGAGGAUCGGCCCGCGUCUGAUUAGCUAGUUGGUGAGGUAACGGCUCACCAAGGCUACGAUCAGUAGCUGGCUGAGAGGAUGAUCAGCCACACUGGGACUGAGACACGGCCCAGACUCCUACGGGAGGCAGCAGUUAGGAAUCUUGGACAAUGGGCGCAAGCCUGAUCCAGCCAUGCCGCGUGAGUGAUGAAGGCCUUAGGGUUNUAAAGCUCUUUCAGGCGGGGAAGAUAAUGACGGUACCCGCAGAAGAACG